rnacentral:rRNA from 1 species
UACGUAGGGGGCAAGCGUUGUCCGGAAUCAUUGGGCGUAAAGCGCGCGUAGGCGGCCCGGUAAGUCCGCUUUGAAAGUCCAGGGCUCAACCCUGGAAAGCGGGUGGAUACUGCCGGGCUAGAAUCCGGAAGAGGCGAGUGGAAUUCCUGGUGUAGCGGUGGAAUGCGCAGAUAUCAGGAGGAACACCAAUAGCGAAGGCAGCUCGCUGGGACGGUAUUGACGCUAAGGCGCGAAAGCGUGGGGAGCAAACAGG